GAUGAAGAACGCAGCGAAAUGCGAUAAGUAAUGUGAAUUGCAGAAUUCAGUGAAUCAUCGAAUCUUUGAACGCACAUUGCGCCCGCCAGUAUUCUGGCGGGCAUGCCUGUCCGAGCGUCAUUUCAACCCUCGAACCCCUCCGGGGGGUCGGCGUUGGGGAUCGGCCCCUCACCGGGCCGCCCCCGAAAUCCAGUGGCGGUCUCGCCGCAGCCUCUCCUGCGCAGUAGUUUGCACACUCGCACCGGGAGCGCGGCGCGGCCACAGCCGUAAAACACCCCAAACUCUGAAAUGUUGACCUCGGAUCAGGUAGGAAUACCCGCUGAACUUUAGCAUAUCAAUAAGCGGAGGA
rnacentral:misc_RNA from 1 species